rnacentral:tRNA from 1 species
GGCUAAAUAGCUUAGUUGGUAAAGCGCUAGUUUAGCAUACAAGAGUCGUGGGUUCGAAUCCCACCUAAGCAC